CAAUAGCGUAUAUUUAAGUUGUUGCAGUUAAAAGCUCGUAGUUGGAUUUCGGUUGAGAACGGCCGGUCCGCCGUUUGGUGUGCACUGGCUGGUCAUCUCAACUUCCUGUGAGAGGACGCGGCUACUGGGGGUUAACGCUCGGAGCGUCGGAGUUCUAAAUCGUGGUUAUCAUUUGAAAAAUUGAGUAGUGUUUCAAAGCAGGCUUACUGCUUGAAUAUUUCAGGACAUAGGAAUAACACUAUAGGACUCCUGUCCUAUUUCGUUGGUCUCGGGACGGGAGUAAUGAUUAAGAGGAACAGUUGGGGGCAUUCGUAUUUCAUUGUCAGAGGUGAAAUUCUUGGAUUUAUGAAAGACGAACUUCUGCGAAAGCAUUUGCCAAGGAUGUUUUCAUUAAUCAAGAACGAAAGUUGGGGGCUCGAAGAUGAUUAGAUACCA
rnacentral:rRNA from 1 species